rnacentral:rRNA from 1 species
UAGGGAAUCUUCGGCAAUGGGGGGAACCCUGACCGAGCAACGCCGCGUGAGUGAAGAAGGUUUUCGGAUCGUAAAGCUCUGUUGUUAAGGAAGAACGAGUGUGAGAAUGGAAAGUUCAUGCUGUGACAGUACUUAACCAGAAAGGGACGGCUAACUACGUGCCAGCAGCCGCGGUAAUACGUAGGUCCCGAGCGUUGUCCGGAUUUAUUGGGCGUAAAGGGUUCGCAGGCGGAAAUGCAAGUCAGGUGUAAAAGGCAGUAGCUUAACUACUGUAAGCAUUUGAAACUGCAUAUCUUGAGAAGAGUAGAGGUAAGUGGAAUUUUUAGUGUAGCGGUGAAAUGCGUAGAUAUUAAAAAGAAUACCGGUGGCGAAGGCGACUUACUGGGCUCAUUCUGACGCUGAGGAACGAAAGCGUGGGUAGCAAACAGG